UACAGAGGGUGCGAGCGUUGUCCGGAAUCACUGGGCGUAAAGGGCGCGUAGGUGGUUGGGUAAGCGUGUGGUGAAAGCCCGGGGCUCAACCCCGGGUCGGCCAUGCGAACUGCCCGACUGGAGCACGGUAGAGGCCAAUGGAAUUCCGGGUGUAGCGGUGGAAUGCGUAGAGAUCGGGAGGAACACCGGUGGCGAAGGCGGCGACCUGGGUAGAUACUGACGCUGAGGUGCGAAAGCGUGGGGAGCAAACAGG
rnacentral:rRNA from 1 species